GGAUUAGAUACCCUGGUAGUCCACGCUGUAAACGAUGAUUACUCGUUGUCGGCGAUACACAGUCGGUGGCUAAGCGAAAGUGAUAAGUAAUCCACCUGGGGAGUACGAUCGCAAGGUUGAAACUCAAAGGAAUUGACGGGGGCCCGCACAAGCGGAGGAGCAUGUGGUUUAAUUCGAUGAUACGCGAGGAACCUUACCUGGGCUUAAAUGUAGAGUGCAUGAGUGGGAAACCAUUCUUUUCUUCGGAACUCUUUACAAGGUGCUGCAUGGUUGUCGUCAGCUCGUGCCG
rnacentral:rRNA from 1 species